GAAGCUGGUCAAACCAUUUCUUUGUGUGU
rnacentral:sRNA from 1 species